rnacentral:rRNA from 1 species
GACGAACGCUGGCGGCGUGCUUAACACAUGCAAGUCGAGCGGUAAGGCCCUUUCGGGGGUACACGAGCGGCGAACGGGUGAGUAACACGUGGGUGACCUGCCCUCAGCUCUGGGAUAAGCCUGGGAAACCGGGUCUAAUACUGGAUAUGACUCCAUGACGCAUGUUGUGGGGUGAAAGCCUUGUGCGGCUGAGGAUGGGCCCGNGGCCUAUCAGCUUGUUGGUGGGGUGANGGCCUACCAAGGCGACGACGGGUAGCCGGCCUGAGAGGGCGACCGGCCACACUGGGACUGAGACACGGCCCAGACUCCUACGGGA